CUGCUGCCUCCCGUAGGAGUUUGGGCCGUGUCUCAGUCCCAAUGUGGCCGAUCAACCUCUCAAUUCGGCUACGCAUCAUUGCCUUGGUAAGCCUUUACCCUACCAACUAGCUAAUGCGCCGCGGGCCCAUCCAAAAGCGGUAGUAUAGCCACCUUUUACAUAGUUACCAUGCGGUAACUAUGGUUAUGCGGUAUUAGCACCUGUUUCCAAGUGUUAUCCCCCUNUUUUGGGCAGGUUGCCCACGUGUUACUCACCCGUUCGCCACU
rnacentral:rRNA from 1 species